GCGCUAUUAGCUCAGCUGGAUAGAGCGCUUGCCUCCGGAGCAAGAGGUCACAGGUUCGAAUCCUGUAUGGCGCACCA
rnacentral:tRNA from 3 species